rnacentral:rRNA from 1 species
CGAGACUUACCUAGCUUGCUUAGUAAGUUUAGUGGCGGACGGGUGAGUAACACGUGAGCAACCUGCCCAGAAGAAAGGGAUAGCUCGGGGAAACUCGAAUUAAUACCAUAUGUGAUCCUGUGAUGCAUAUCACGGGAAUGAAAGGUGCCUUCGGGUGCCGCUUCUGGAUGGGCUCGCGGCCUAUCAGCUUGAUGGUGAGGUAACGGCUCACCAUGGCAUUGACGGGUAGCUGGUCUGAGAGGACGACCAGUCACACUGGAACUGAGACACGGUCCAGACACCUACGGGUGGCAGCAGUCGAGAAUCAUUCGCAAUGGACGAAAGUCUGACGGUGCGACGCCGCGUGGAGGAUGACGGUCUUCGGAUUGUAAACUCCUGUCAUCGAAGAGUAAGGUUUGCAGGUUAAUACCCUGUAAAAUUGAUAGUAUUCGAAGAGGAAGGGACGGCUAACUUCGUGCCAGCAGCCGCGGUAAUACGAAGGUCCCAAGCGUUGUUCGGAAUCACUGGGCGUAAAGGGAGCGUAGGCGGUGAGGUAAGUCAGAUGUGAAAUUCCAGGGCUCAACCCUGGAACUGCAUCCGAUACUGCCUCACUUGAGUAGUGGAGGGGCAUCUGGAAUUCACGGUGUAGCAGUGAAAUGCGUAGAGAUCGUGAGGAACACUAGUGGCGAAGGCGAGAUGCUGGACACUUACUGACGCUGAGGCUCGAAGGCCAGGGUAGCGAAAGGGAUUAGAUACCCCUGUAGUCCUGGCAGUAAACGGUGCACGUUUGGUGUGAGAAGGUUCGACCCUUUUCGUGCCGGAG